rnacentral:rRNA from 1 species
AACGAACGCUAGCGGCAUGCCUAACACAUGCAAGUCGAACGAGACCUUCGGGUCUAGUGGCGCACGGGUGCGUAACGCGUGGGAACCUGCCCUUAGGUUCGGAAUAACUCCCCGAAAGGGGUGCUAAUACCGGAUAAUGUCUUCGGACCAAAGAUUUAUCGCCUUUGGAUGGGCCCGCGUUGGAUUAGCUAGUUGGUAGGGUAAAAGCCUACCAAGGCGACGAUCCAUAGCUGGUCUGAGAGGAUGAUCAGCCACACUGGGACUGAGACACGGCCCAGACUCCUACGGGAGGCAGCAGUGGGGAAUAUUGGACAAUGGGCGAAAGCCUGAUCCAGCAAUGCCGCGUGAGUGAUGAAGGCCUUAGGGUUGUAAAGCUCUUUUACCCGGGAUGAUAAUGACAGUACCGGGAGAAUAAGCGCCGGCUAACUCCGCG